rnacentral:SRP_RNA from 1 species
UUGCUACGGCUGCACUUGUAAGUGUUGCAUGCAGUACAUCGUGCAUAUGUGCAUUAUUCUUUGUUGUUUUUUUUAAAGCAUGUUUUUGACAAUUUGUUCAGCUUUAAAUGGUUUGUGAGUUGUUGCUGUAUUUCCACU